UUGCCGGUCAGCACACAGAAAGAACAGGUCCCUUUUUCAGCUACACCAGCAAGUCUUCGGGCACAGCAGGGAGCUGUGGAGCAGGAGAAAAUGAACAUGGGAUUUGGUGUGUGAACAGCUCAUGGGGAAUGCGUAGAAGAAAAGGUUGUGUUGGGAGUAAAUGUUGACCUCUGCAAAGCUGAGGAAUGUCCAGCAGGUGGAUGGAGCUGACUCAAGGAGAAAGCUGAGCAGCCUUGGAUACUGAGCUCUGAUUGGUGAGUCUAGAGUAGGAAACUAUAGCCUUGGCAGAGACCAUUCUGUGCAUGAGAACAUGGGAAAUUCCAGAGGCCUGAGAAGACAAUUGACCUUGGAUAUGCCAGCCAAAAAUCGUCUUACAUUACAGUAACAAGGCUGAGGGUAUCAGGAUGGCUCACAACGUGGCCUUGGCUCUUGAAGAAUUCCACAAAUCCCCUUCUUGGUUUUGAGGGAUCCAGAUACUCUUUACAGCUUCUUCUGUUAGCAGUUCUCGUCCCAACUGAACUGCUCCUCCAAGACUUGUGUUUACCCCCAGGUUACAAACUGCUCUAAUGCUUUUCUUUUUCCCACUCCUCAGCUCCAGUGUCCAUCCAGGCCAUUCCACCGGGGGAGCACUGGGAUCCGAAUUGGAGGGCAGUUCAUCUGAACAUGGGGACCAAACUUGUUUCAGAAGUGGCUCACCCUGCUCUCCAGUGUCCAUCCAGGCCAUUCCACCGGGGGAGCACUGGGAUCCGAAUUGGAGGGCAGUUCAUCUGAACAUGGGGACCAAACUUGUUUCAGAAGUGGCUCACCCUGCUUAUCCAGAACAGCAUCUGCCUCAACACACACAGAGGGGAUCCCACCUCACCCAACUACAAUAUGGGAACCACAGAACCCAGACCAUCAUUAUCCCAGCUCUGCAGCCAUCUGACUUCCGCAGCGCCAGGACAGCGUCGAUUCCAGCCGGCUCCUACCCCCUCAUUCCCGAUCGGACUUCGAGCCCUCCGGGAAGGUCACCGGUCUGCAGGUCACCUUUCGGACGCCGCUCGUCGACGCAGGAGUCACAGAGAACGUGGAGACCAUCAACGGGAUCAAGCAAUGGCCAGAGUUUAUUAGAUACAGUGCUCUUCUUAUACCCUUACAGCCUUAUGUAACAGCCUUGGAUGGGAGGGACUACUGAUUUCUGUACUUGUAUGGCUUGUUUCUGUACCCCUAUGAUAUUUUCCUCCCUGAAUAUAACUUGUUAUAAUUGUUGUCUGAAUAAAAAAGAGAGGGUUGAGUUGGAUGGGAUGGACCAUUGAUUUUGUACUGGUUGUUUUUGUACCCCUAUGAUGUUUUCUUC